GACUCAACCAGACCAUUACAAAGUAUGGCCUGGAGGAUUUUCAUCUCAAGGUGCAAGAACAUUCUUAAUGACUGUACACGGCAGCUGCUGAUGGACGAUGUUGGGCCAGAUGUGCUACAGUUAGCGUUAAGGAGGUUGGAGACAAUGCAGAGAAGCCUUCAGUGGGCAAGAGGAAGACUGAUCAAUGUAACUGCAGCAGAUCAACUUCUGCGUGACUUGGCUGAAUUGAUUCAGGAUGUCGAACUGUCUACUCAGCAUGGGCAACAAGGCUGUUUUGGAUACCAGGCACCAGUGGUUUUCAACAGAGGUAGAGGUAGAUCCCUUUACCUUAUCACUCGGGAACAGCUUUCAUUCCUGAAGUCAUGUGGAUUCACUGCACCUCAGAUGGCUGAUAUUUUGAGUGUUUCACU